rnacentral:rRNA from 1 species
UACGUAGGGUGCAAGCGUUAAUCGGAAUUACUGGGCGUAAAGCGUGCGCAGGCGGUUUCGUAAGUCUGAUGUGAAAUCCCCGGGCUUAACCUGGGAAUUGCAUUGGAGACUGCGAGGCUAGAAUCUGGCAGAGGGGGGUAGAAUUCCACGUGUAGCAGUGAAAUGCGUAGAGAUGUGGAGGAACACCGAUGGCGAAGGCAGCCCCCUGGGUCAAGAUUGACGCUCAUGCACGAA